GAAAGAUUCAUUGUCUUCUCCUCAGAGAGUGAUACCGUUAUCCUAAACAUAAUCGGAAUUACGGGGCAGAAAUCCUAGCCGUUCAUCUGCUGUCUCUCAGGGAGUCCGGAGUGUGGCUUUCUCCUGAGAUUUCCAUCUAAAGAGGACUUGAAUCUCCACGAGUUAGUGGCCACGUGCCAAGGCCGAGACUUUGGAGACGGAGGAGAGCUGUGUUCCCUGGUGAUGCCCACACCGCGAGCCGCGGCGUCGGUCAAAACACACCCCGUGCCAGGACACGGUGACAACCCAGAAGACAGCCUCUGCAGCCGGAGGGGACAUACACGCAAAAGCGGAGCCUCAGAACCGCCGUGACAGAGACCUGUCCCCGAGCAGGUCUCGCUCCACGUCGGGACCCCCCACCUCCACUGGGAAGAGGGAAAUCCAGGCUGCAAGCUUGCUGGAAGCUUCUCUGCCAGCAGGUGAAGGGACCCGCUGGUGUCCAGGCCCCUGGGCUGGCGCUGAUCCUAGAGGAGGCAAGUCCUUUGGAGGAGCGUGGCUGGCUGUCCAGGUGGCCCCCCUGUCUGCUGCAUCAGGUCCCCUGGCAACUUCCUCUGAGCUCCCGUGGGGAUGCGGAGGCCACUCGAUGUCAGGAGGUG
ensembl:lncRNA